ensembl:lncRNA
UCUCUUUCCAAUUCCAUGAAGACCGGAAACAUCCGUAGGCUCUGCUAAUAACAUAACAAAAACACCCCUAUCCUUUUACAUUCAUGACUGAUACGAUUUAUUGAAGUGUCCUACACCUACCGGUGCCCAGCCCACAUGGGUUUACAAGAAACUACAGAACAAAAUAACAUUUGACAAAUCAUACGCAUACAGUACAGCUACCAUCCAGCCACACUACACAACCAGCUACCAUCCAGCCACACUACACAACCAGCUACCAUCCAGCUACACAACCAGCUACCAUCCAGCCACACUUCACAACCAGCUACCAUCCAGCCACACUACACUACCAGCUACCAUCCAGCUACACAACCAGCUACCAUCCAGCCACACUUCACAACCAGCUACCAUCCAGCCACACUUCACAACCAGCUACCAUCCAGCUACACAACCAGCUACCAUCCAGCUACACAACCAGCUACCAUCCAGCCACACUUCACAACCAGCUACAGUCCAGCUACACAACCAGCUACCAUCCAGCUACACAACCAGCCACCAUCCAGCCACCCUACACAACCAGCUACCAUCCAGCCACACUACACAACCAGGUACCAUCCAGCCACACAACCAGCUACCAUCCAGCCACGCUACACAAUCAGCCACACUACACAACCAGCUACCAUCCAGCCACACUACACAACCAGGUACCAUCCAGCCACACAACCAACUACCAUCCAGCCACACUACACAACCAGCUACCAUCCAGCCACACUACACAACCAGGUACCAUCCAGACACACAACCAGCUACCAUCCAGCCACGCUACACAAUCAGCCACGCUACACAUCCAGCUACCAUCCAGCCAAGCUACACAACCAGCUACCAUCCAGCCACACAACCAGCUACCAGCCAGCCACACUACACAACCAGCUACUAGCCAGCCACACUACACAA